rnacentral:rRNA from 1 species
CACAAGCAGUGGAGUAUGUGGUUUAAUUCGAGGCAACGCGAAGAACCUUACCAGGGCUUGACAUCUCCUGACGACCCAAGAGAUUGGGCGUCCCUUCGGGGCAGGAAGACAGGUGCUGCAUGGUUGUCGUCAGCUCGUGUCGUGAGAUGUUGGGUUAAGUCCCGCAACGAGCGCAACCCCUACCGUCAGUUGCCAUCAUUAAGUUGGGCACUCUGGCGGGUCUGCCGGUGAUAAAUCGGAGGAAGGUGGGGAUGACGUCAAAUCAUCAUGCCCCUUAUGUCCUGGGCUACACACGUACUACAAUGGCCGCUACAGCAGGAAGCGAAACCGCGAGGUGGAGCAAAUCCCCAAAGGCGGCCCCAGUUCGGAUUGCAGGCUGAAACCCGCCUGUAUGAAGUUGGAAUUGCUAGUAAUUGCAGGUCAGCAUACUGCAGUGAAUACGUUCCCGGGCCUUGUACACACCGCCCGUCACAC